CUUACAUAGUACGAUGCAUCGUGACACUGCGUCAGUGUUUCCCAAAACCAUAGUAGCAACUAACGUUCGCAACCACUAUCGUAAAGUUGUGUAGUUACAGCUACACCUCUCGACCUGUAGUAUGUAGUAAGAACCAUAGUAGACGACGUAACCCUGAUGACGGAACACGCAGAGGACAGAUGGAUGAGAGGUAGCCAUUAAACGAUCCCAUAACAUUGCUGUGGGAUACCAUACCAUAGCAUUGCUGGAAUCUACAAUUGCACAUUACUGUGGUACAGUGGAAAGUGAAGUGUUAUGGAGUUAGCCUACAACAGAGCGGCCUGUGGUGAAGUGCUAUGGUGACCGCAAUCAUCUGUGUUGUUAUUAUUCGUGAAUUUACAUGUAGCCUAAUGCUAAUGUGUCAGCACAGAUUCUUUCGAACACCCGUUAAGUUAAGUUAUCUGGUGAUAAAGCUUUUGAAUGCCAACGGUAUUGUUAUGUGAGGCUAGCAUUGUAAUUGUUAUAAAAGGAUAACGUUACAUUGUAGUCGUAUGUUAAGUGUGUUUGGAUGAAGCAUCUGCUAAUCAUACACAUAGCUAACGGUAUAUGGACUCUACAGCCCAUUAUGAUGUGGUGAAGUGACUGUGCUGUGGCAGAGACUGUAGCGUGUGUGCUUUACAUGAGAGAGGUCAGGGGUUCAAGACUGAGUCGAUGGGUGUGAGGUAUGGGUAGGCCUGUCAUGGGAGGCGGAAAAAUGGCCAGCAGGAAGGUGUGCAGCAGCCACUGGAAUGACCUCUUCCACCUCCUCCACUAACAGCUCCUCAUCAGCCGGCAGUGGGAUGUGAUCCUGAAGGGCCAUGUUGCAGAAGCGCCGCCACCAAAACUACACUGCACACCUUUGCAGGAUGGAGCUUCAGGCCACCAGCGGAUUUGCUCACACACCUUUCCACAUGCCCAAGGCCCUCUCCACAACAACGCAUUCCGGCUAUGGGCGUUGUUGUACCGCGCCUCUGCCUCGCUGUUGGGCUCCUAGAUGGAGCAGUUGACAUGCUUGUAUUAUCAUAGGGGGUUGAUGGAAUAAAGUAGGUCUUGAAAUGUCAGUGCACUCACAGGGAAUAUAGACAUGCAUUUGAAAACAACAGUAUAGACUUUGCUACUAUCUCAGCAGCAGAAGGCAACAACAUGAGCAGCACCUACAGUAACACUGUGUGUGUGUGUGUGUGUGUGUGUAUGUUGGUACAGCUGGCGCAGAUCCUUCAACCAUUUGAGCAUUGAAACAUUUGUGCUAUGUGAACUGUGAUUUUGUGGUUGUGAUUCAACACACAACUUCAUAACUACAAUGGAUGAAAAGUAAUGGUAAAAAAACUGUAUCUGUGCAUUUAAAAUAUCAUGAAAUACUUGUGUGUGGUAACAGUAUUCAGUUUUCAGUGUCACAGUGAAAACACAUAACAAGGGCAACAUUGGGCAAAUGCUGCAUAAAGGCAUGAAAAUAUUCCAGUGAAAUGAAGGGCAAUGAUAAAGUAAAGUAUUCAUUUAUAUAGCGCUUUUAGAACAGAGUGAAACCCAAAGCACUUACACAACAACAUGUUGUUCAACAUUGUUCAUAUUACAUAUCCAUAUUUAUUCUGCUCUUACUGUAAGGUAAGUGCUAAGAUACUGCACAUAUUUAUAUUUCAUUUAUAUUACUCUAAACCACCUUCUGCAAACCAACUGUAUACUACUGUAUAGUACUGUAUACUAUGUUGAAUCUAAUCUAACCAUGCCAAUUUUCAUAGAACAUAAUAUACAUGUAUCCUAAGCCUAGGCUAGUAAGCAUAUGGUCUCCAAUCAGUAGUUAAAACUAGGACUACAGGUUCUAAACGAUCAUAGGAAUAUUUAGUGAUUGAGCCUAUCCAAGAUUCCAACACCAUUGUUAAUUGAUCAUUAUCCAAGCCCGAACCUACGACUACAAGAUCCGAAAUGCAGAGGUCUAUCCUUCCACGCCACCUUGUCACGCUACAACAAAUGAAA